GACGAACGCUGGCGGCGUGCUUAGCACAUGCAAGUCGAACGGUGAAGCGCCUUCCUUUUUGGUGGGUGUGGAUGAGUGGCGAACGGGUGAGUAACACGUGAGUAACCUGCCCCCUUCUUCUGGAUAACCGCAUGAAAGUGUGGCUAAUACGGGAUAUUCUGGGUCUGUCGCAUGAUGGGUCUGGGAAAGAUAUUGUUUCGGUGGGGGAUGGGCUCGCGGCCUAUCAGCUUGUUGGUGGGGUGAUGGCCUACCAAGGCGGUGACGGGUAGCCGGCCUGAGAGGAUGGACGGUCACACUGGGACUGAGACACGGCCCAGACUCCUACGGGAGGCAGCAGUGGGGAAUAUUGCACAAUGGGCGCAAGCCUGAUGCAGCGACGCCGCGGGAGGGAUGGAGGCCUUCGGGUUGUGAACCUCUUUCGCCAGUGAAGCAGGCCUGCCUCGUUUGUGGGUGGGUUGACGGUAGCUGGAUAAGAAGCGCCGGCUAACUACGUG
rnacentral:rRNA from 1 species